rnacentral:rRNA from 1 species
GUAGGUGGCAAGCGUUGUCCGGAUUUAUUGGGUUAAAGGGUGCGUAGGCGGCCUUGUAAGUCAGUGGUGAAAUAUCUCAGCUUAACUGAGAGGGUGCCAUUGAUACUGCAGGGCUUGAGUACAGAUGAGGUAGGCGGAAUUGACGGUGUAGCGGUGAAAUGCAUAGAUAUCGUCAAGAACUCCGAUAGCGAAGGCAGCUUACUAAGCUGUAACUGACGCUGAGGCACGAAAGUGUGGGGAUCAAACAGGAUUAGAUACCCUGGUAGUCCACACUGUAAACGUUGAUGACUCGAUGUUGGCGAUACACAGCCAGCGUCCAAGAGCAAUCGUUAAGUCAUCCACCUGGGGAGUACGCCGGCAACGGUG